rnacentral:rRNA from 1 species
UAAGUAAGCGGAGGAUAAGAAACUAAAUAGGAUUCCCUUAGUAAUGGCGAAUGAACAGGGAUAAGCUCAGCAUGGAAAUUGGGGCCUCUGGCCUUGAAUUGUAGUCUUGAGAUGUGCUACCAACGGAGGCGCAGAUGUAAGCCUCUUGGAAAAGAGCGUCAGGGAGGGUGAGAGUCCCGUAUGUCAUCUGCAGUUCUCUGUGCACGGUACAUUUUCCAAGAGUCACGUUCCUCGGGAUUGGAGCGCAAAUUGGGUGGUAAAUUUCAUCUAAAGCUAAAUAUUGGUUCGAGACCGAUAGCAAACAAGUACCAUGAGGGAAAGGUGAAAAGGACUUUGAAAAGAGAGUUAAAAGUGCCUGAAAUUGCUGAAAGGGAAGCGAAUGGAACCAGUUGUUCUUGGCGAGUAUUGGUGUUGUCUAAAGUGAGGGCUUGCCACUUCAGCGCAAGUGUGGUGGCAGGUUUUGAUCUGGAUGCGAUACUGCAUCUCGCCUUGCAUGUCAACGUCAGUUCAUAAUUGAGGAAAACUCUAAGGACUUGGUAAUUUGCUUCCGGGUGACUGAAUGUCUCUAGUGGAACUCAUUUUUGAACUGCUUUUGUAUGUCUUGUUGCAGUGCUCUGCGUGCUUGCCUGUGAUCCGGUGCUUGCUCUGCUUGGCAUGGGGUUGCUGGUGCCUGGAGCAUGUCCUUGACAUAAGUACGAUGACGAAAUGGUUUUAUUCGACCCG